GUGCUCACUUCAGCAGCACACACACUAAAAUUGGAAUGAUACAUUGAUGACAAGCGUGGCCCCUCUGUCAAGGAUGACACACAAUUUCAUGAAGCAUCCUAUAUUUAA
rnacentral:snRNA from 1 species